UCUCCAUUUAGGUUAGAAAAGCUUGAAAGGAAUGCGUCUCCUUGAGUAGUGGAAGUGUGGUAGACUUCGGGAGCGAGAUUUGAGUUGGGAAAUGUCAAAUCCACGGAGAAAUAUGGUGAAAAUGCCCCUGGUUCAAUCGUAGGCCCAUAAAUUUGAAGUCGGGAUGGUUGAACUAAUCUUGGACCGAUUUGGGCUGCUUGGAAUGCCACGGAAACAUGUUGGGCCAUAGAAGUAGGUUGGUCCAUGGGAGUAAGCUAGGCCGCGGGAGUAGGCUGUGCCACGUGCUGGGCUUGUGGUCGAAGUGCGGAGCUGGGAGCGUAUUGGAUCUGGACCGAGGGAAUGGUCAGCGCAGUGAUGCGAAAAUUAACCUAACACACAAAUUUAACCCUCUUUUGACAAUUGUAGUAUAAGUAUAAGUAGGGAUCGUUCUGGAACGGGGAUUAGGAGGGCUUGCUAAUAACCUCUAAACUAACUCAAAAACAUAAAACUAAACUUAAAAAUACUUAACAAGACUCACAAGACUCAAAGUAAACUUUAAAAUACUCAAAACAACUUAAAACAACUAAAUAAACUUAAACUAGACACUAGGAAUGACUUUGGACAAAAAUUGACUUUUACUUGAAUCAAAACAUUUAAAAACACAAAUUAAAACAGAUUCUAACUAAUUGGACACACUUAAGUAAAGUGGGAUUGAGUUUUGGACGAAGUUGAAACAAACAAACAAGUAUGAAAAACU
rnacentral:lncRNA from 1 species